CGAACGCUGGCGGCGUGCCUAAUACAUGCAAGUCGAGCGGACUUCUUUGAAGCUUGCUUUAAAGAAGUUAGCGGCGGACGGGUGAGUAACACGUGGGCAACCUGCCUGUAAGACUGGGAUAACUUCGGGAAACCGGAGCUAAUACCGGAUAAUAUAAAAGACCUCCUGGUCUUCUAUUGAAAGUUGGUUUCGGCUAACACUUACAGAUGGGCCCGCGGCGCAUUAGCUAGUUGGUGAGGUAACGGCUCACCAAGGCGACGAUGCGUAGCCGACCUGAGAGGGUGAUCGGCCACACUGGGACUGAGACACGGCCCAGACUCCUACGGGAGGCAGCAGUAGGGAAUCUUCCACAAUGGACGAAAGUCUGAUGGAGCAACGCCGCGUGAGCGAUGAAGGCCUUCGGGUCGUAAAGCUCUGUUGUUAGGGAAGAACAAGUACCGGAGUAACUGCCGGUACCUUGACGGUACCUAACCAGAAAGCCACGACUAACUAC
rnacentral:rRNA from 1 species